rnacentral:rRNA from 1 species
UACAGAGGGUGCAAGCGUUAUCCGGAUUUACUGGGUUUAAAGGGUGCGUAGGCGGGCUUUUAAGUCAGCGGUGAAAUCUUCGGGCUCAACCCGAAAAUUGCCGUUGAUACUAUUAGUCUUGAAUUAAGUUGAGGUGGGCGGAAUGUGUCAUGUAGCGGUGAAAUGCUUAGAUAUGACACAGAACACCGAUUGCGAAGGCAGCUCGCUAAACUUAUAUUGACGCUGAGGCACGAAAGCGUGGGGAUCAAACAGG